AUGUACAACAGAGACGAGAUCCUUGACGUGGCGGACCCGCGGCUGAGGGGUGUCCAGGACGACGAGUGGUGGAUGGUGCGGGUGCUCGUUGUGGGCCUCUGGUGCGCGCUUCCGGACCGGAGCGAGCGGCCAUCUGUGGCGCAGGCCAUGAACGUGCUGCAUUCAGAAGAGGCGAGGCUGCCACAGCUCUCGCCGUACAUGUACAUGGCCGUACGGCCAGAUCCAGCGUCGUCCGCCGGGCACGGCAAUUUCUCCAUCGACGACCCUGGCCCGGGCCCCGGCUGCGGUUUCGUUCGCUCUUCUUCGAGCAACACCGAGGACACCAUUCUUUCCCCGGGCUCCUCGUCAGCUGCGUCGGUUCGACAUUCUAGGUUUCCAACGGUCUAG
rnacentral:rRNA from 1 species